GCAAGUCGAGCGGUAACAGAGAUAGCUUGCUAUCUGCUGACGAGCGGCGGACGGGUGAGUAAUGCUUGGGAAUAUGCCUUUGAGUGGGGGACAACAGUUGGAAACGACUGCUAAUACCGCAUAACGUCUACGGACCAAAGGGGGGGAUCUUCGGACCUCACGCCAUAAGAUUAGCCCAAGUGGGAUUAGCUAGUUGGUGAGGUAAUGGCUCACCAAGGCGACGAUCCCUAGCUGGUCUGAGAGGAUGAUC
rnacentral:rRNA from 1 species